UUUCCGGUUGAUCCUGCCGGAGGCCACUGCUAUUGGGAUCCGACUAAGCCAUGCGAGUCGAGAGGGUUCGGCCCUCGGCAGACUGCUCAGUAACACGUGGAUAAUCUACCCUUAGGUGGAGGAUACUCUCGGGAAACUGAGAAUAAUACUCCAUAGGUCUAGGAUGCUGGAAUGCACCUAGGUUGAAAGUUCCGGCGCCUAAGGACGAGUCUGCGGACUAUCAGGUAGUAGUCAGGGUAAAGACCUGACUAGCCUACGACGGAUACGGGUUGUGAGAGCAAUAGCCCGGAGACGAUAUCUGAGACACGAUAUCGGGCCCUACGGGGCGCAGCAGGCGCGAAAUCUUCACAAUGUGCGAAAGCACGAUGAGGGGAUCCCAAGUGUUGGUUCGUAAGAGUCAUCUGUUUCUUUGUCUAAAAAACAGAGAGAGUAAGAGCUGGGUAAGACGGGUGCCAGCCGCCGCGGUAAUACCUGCAGCUCAAGUGGUGGCCGCUAUUAUUGGGCCUAAAACGUCCGUAGCCGGUUUAGUAAAUGCCUGGGUAAAUUGUGUAGCUCAACUAUACGAAUACCGGGUAGACUGCUAAACUUGGAACCGGGAGAGGCUAGAGGUACUCCUAGGGUAGAGGUGAAAUUCUGUAAUCCUAGGGGGACCACCAGUGGCGAAGGCGUCUAGCCAGAACGGGUUUGACGGUGAGGGACGAAGCCCUGGGGCGCAAACCGGAUUAGAUACCCGGGUAGUCCAGGGUGUAAACGCUGCUUGCUUGAUGUUAGUUGGGCUCCGAGCCCAAUUAGUGUCGGAGAGAAGUUGUUAAGCAAGCUGCCUGGGAAGUACGAUCGCAAGAUUGAAACUUAAAGGAAUUGGCGGGGGAGCAC
rnacentral:rRNA from 1 species